CUGCCGGGACACCUGUAGACUCGGGGCCGCGCAGGGAGCAGGUAGCAACAAAGACAGGGCGACUGGACGGUGUGCCGGGCAGGGACGGCGAGCAGGCUGACGACGCCGACGCCAACGCCCCCGACCCCGGCCCACCAGGACAGGAAAUGGCUGUUGGAUUCAGCACCGGGGCUCCGGACAGCUCCCGCGCGGCGGCGGCGCGGGCGCCUUUUCAGCACCUGGGCAAAGGAC